GGGAACAGUUCAGACUAUGAAGAACAACAUCUGGAGACUGUAACCGACCUGCUGCAGUUCCGUGAUGUGAAGUCAACCAUCUUCAGUAAAUGAAGCACCAGGCAGAUUUUCCACAUUUUGAGCAUCAGAUGGGCCUUACAUCUGCCCUCAGACCUGCCUGGCCGGCCGUCGCAGCGAGGGGCUGAUUAUCAUUAGUUGCAAUCAGAGGAGACCCUGUCGUUUCACUCCAGACUUCCUCGGGCCUCUCUGGACUCCCUGAUAGAGGCGCAACAGUUAAUGAGGGAAAUACCCAAAGUUAAACCGAGCAUGGGAGGCUGAAAGAGUGGGAGAGAGUGGGGGGAGGGAGGACCGGAGAGGGAAAGAGUAGCAGCAGAAAGAGGCUUCUGGUUUCCCCCGGAGGACCGAGGCGUUCGCUGUGGCUGUGUGGGUCUCUGGCAUGAUGAUUUGGGACAGAAAGUGAAAAAUCACAUUGCCAGGGAUUACUACACUGCUGCUGUUGCUGCUGCUGCUGCUGCUGCUGCUGCUGCUGCUGCUGCUGGGGGAGGAAACACUGAUACCAACAUGGGUCUGAGGUGGGAGUUCUUCAAGUCUGUGGACGCACCUGAAAGGAGAAGCUCUUCUGAGGCAAGAUGAGUGGAUUUCUGUUGGUUUCCACGGCUUCUGCUCUUGUGCAGAGAUGAUGAGGAUGUGUUUGACUUCUCAGUUUGGAUACUGUAGUCGUGAAGCUGUGCAUCAUUUGUCUUACAGCAGGUUUAAAAUAGCAUCAAAGCUUUUAGCUUUUAACACAGAAUCAGAAGAUUUUUUUUGCUCGAGGAAGUCAGAAUCUUAGAAAUCC
ensembl:lncRNA